rnacentral:rRNA from 1 species
AGCGAACGCUGGCGGCAGGCCUAACACAUGCAAGUCGAGCGGACAUCUUCGGAUGUUAGCGGCGGACGGGUGGGUAACGCGUGGGAACGUGCCCUUUGCUUCGGAAUAGCCUCGGGAAACUGGGAGUAAUACCGGAUGUACCCUUUGGGGGAAAGAUUUAUCGGCAAAGGAUCGGCCCGCGUUGGAUUAGGUAGUUGGUGGGGUAAUGGCCUACCAAGCCGACGAUCCAUAGCUGGUUUGAGAGGAUGAUCAGCCACACUGGGACUGAGACACGGCCCAGACUCCUACGGGAGGCAGCAGUGGGGAAUCUUAGACAAUGGGGGAAACCCUGAUAUAGCCAUGCCGCGUGAGCGAUGAAGGCCUUAGGGUUGUAAAGCUCUUUCACCGGGGAAGAUAAUGACGGUACCCGGAGAAGAAGCCCCGGCUAACUCCGUG